GUAAAAAUUAAUAAAAAUGCCACGCAAGAGAAGAACAAAAAGAAGAAGAAAUCAAAACAAAUGUAAAUGGAAAUGGUAAAGAUAUGGAUACAGCUGUAACAGAUGCUACAUCUACUACAGCUACAACGACUGGUACAGAAACUACUACUUCAACAUUUUUUCAUGAGAAAAUGUGCAAAGAAACAAUUAAAGAAGGAAAUAACACACAAAAAAUACACGUAAAACAAGAACAAACAUUUCAUAUAAAAUUAGAACAAAAAAGUACAGAAAAAAAUAUAAAUAACAACAAUUUUGAUGUAUUACGACAUUUAAAUACAGAUAUAAUAAGAGACAAUCGUAUAGACGAAUUUUUAAGAUUUGAUUCUCCUAUAAUUCGAUGUAGAAGUAGUAAUGAAUAUAUGUCGCCUAGAAAAAGGAAAUCAGAAAAUUUAUUGUAUAGUUAUAGAAGUAAAGACUUAGG